UUCUCCCUACGGGGCGCAGCAGUGAGGAAUAUUGGUCAAUGGUCGGGAGACUGAACCAGCCAAGCCGCGUGAGGGAUGAAGGUACAGAGUAUCGUAAACCUCUUUUGUCAGGGAACAAAGGCGGGGACGUGUCCCCGGAUGAGUGUACCUGAAGAAAAAGCAUCGGCUAACUACGUGCCAGCAGCCGCGGUAAUACGUAGGGGGCAAGCGUUAUCCGGAAUUACUGGGUGUAAAGGGAGCGUAGACGGUAAUGCAAGUCUGGAGUGAAAGGCGGGGGCCCAACCCCCGGACUGCUCUGGAAACUG
rnacentral:rRNA from 1 species